rnacentral:rRNA from 1 species
GACGAACGCUGGCGGCGUGCCUAAUACAUGCAAGUUGAGCGCUGAAGGUUGGUACUUGUACCCACUGGAUGAGCAGCGAACGGGUGAGUAACGCGUGGGGAAUCUGCCUUUGAGCGGGGGACAACAUUUGGAAACGAAUGCUAAUACCGCAUAAAACCUUUAAACACAAUUUUUAAGUUUGAAAGAUGCCAUUGCAUCACUCAAAGAUGAUCCCGCGUUGUAUUAGCUAGUUGGUGAGGUAAAGGCUCACCCAGGCGAGGAUACAUAGCCGACCUGAGAGGGUGAUCGGCCACAUUGGGACUGAGACAAGGCCCAAACGCCUACGGGAGGCAGCAGUAGGGAAUCUUCGGCAAUGGACGAAAGUCUGACCGAGCAACGCCGCGUGAGUGAAGAAGGGUGUCGGAUCGUAAAACUCUGUUGGUAGAGAAGAACGUUGGUGAGAGUGGAAAGCUCAUCAAGUGACGGUAACUACCCAGAAAGGGACGGCUAACUACGUG